rnacentral:rRNA from 1 species
UACAGGGGGGGCAAGCGUUGUUCGGAAUUACUGGGCGUAAAGGGCUCGUAGGCGGCCAACUAAGUCCGACGUGAAAUCCCAAAGCUUAACUUUGGAACUGCGUCGGAUACUGGAUGGCUUGAAUUCGGGAGAGGGAUGCAGAAUUCCAGGUGUAGCGGUGAAAUGCGUAGAUAUCUGGAGGAAUACCGGUGGCGAAGGCGGCAUCCUGGACCGACAUUGACGCUGAGGAACGAAAGCUAGGGGAGCAAACGGG